AACAAGACAAGCAGGCGAUCCAAAAAUUUACAAUGGAAACAGAUAUUCAAAGUUAAAUCAACACUGAAAGUCAACAGAUAAAUGACUUUGCAUUUUUACGUUUAGAACAAAGAUUUUCAAACCUGCCCAGCCAAGCUGGUCAGCCGUGUCGACUAAGUUAGCUUGUCCCAACUUUACGCACCUUAAUCCAUCGCCUUCGGU